CAUUCUAAGACGGUUAUCUGGGACCGUCUUAGAAUGUGGCGCGGUGGCAAACUUGUAAUUAAGAUACUCGAAAUUUCUUUUUACAACACACAUUUUAAGACGGUUGUCAAUAACCGUCUUAGAAUA
rnacentral:pre_miRNA from 1 species